CUUCAAACCACAGGUGUACGUCCCAGAAUCCCUUGCAGUCAGAGGGAUGAUGUGGAGGGCGGGGCCAGACACUGAGAGGGCGUGGCCAUCUCUGAACCAGGUAUUUGUAACGAGGGUUGUUGUUUCCUGAACUGCUGUCAAACACAGACGGGGUAGAGCCCUGACAAAGCUGAUGGUUCUGGCACCAGAUGACUCUGAUGAUCUCUGUAGAAACUUCUCUUCCAUCCUGAAUAACAGACCUCAGAGGUGUGAAGGUGCAGAGGAGGGUGACGGUCGAUCCUGUCACAGCACAAACAGGAGCUGGAUAGUUCACACUCUGACCCACAGCACCUGAAACAACACAGCGCAGUGACGACGGCUGAGUUAGAAGAUGCAGAGACGCAUUAAAAUUGUUUAAGUACUGCAA